rnacentral:rRNA from 1 species
AAGUAUUAGAGGUCCCGCCUGCCCAGUGAAACUUUUUAACGGCCGCGGUAUCCUAACCGUGCAAAGGUAGCGUAAUCACUUGUCCCCUAAAUAGGGACUAGUAUGAACGGCCACAUGAGGGCCUAACUGUCUCCUAUGGCCAAUCAAUGAAACUGAACCCCCAGUACAAAAGCUGGGAUAUAAACAUAAGACGAGAAGACCCUGUGGAGCUUCAAACACACCACUACCCGCCUAACACCCGCCUGCGCGCCCAUAGUGUGAGUUUUAAGUUGGGGCGACUACGGAGAAAAACAAAACCUCCACGGACCAGGAACCCCCCCCCAUUUAAGGCCGACAGGCCAAGAAUAAAACACUGAUCCAGUCCAACACUGAUCAACGAACCAAGUUACCCCAGGGAUAACAGCGCUAUCCUCCUCUAGAGUCCCCAUCGCCAGGAGGGUUUACGACCCUCGAUGUUGGAUCAGGACACCCUGGUGGUGCAACAACUACCAAUGGUUCGUUUGUUCAAC